rnacentral:misc_RNA from 1 species
GCCAUUGCUGGAAGAAUGUUUAAUGAUAUCCCAAAGGAUGCAUUUCCUUCAGGACCUGGAACCAAUACUGAGGAAAUCCGUGAAUUACAAGAACUUCAGAAGACAUUGUACACAUUUCUGCAUGUGAUAACGACGCACGGUCUAUCCUCAAUCUUCCUUUCACCCAAAAGUAGGGUCUACUUGGAUUCUUUGAUGCAGUU